AUUGAACGCUGGCGGCAUGCCUUACACAUGCAAGUCGAACGGCAGCGGGGACUUCGGUCCGCCGGCGAGUGGCGAACGGGUGAGUAAUGUAUCGGAACGUACCUUUCAGUGGGGGAUAACGUAGCGAAAGUUACGCUAAUACCGCAUAUUCUCUGAGGAGGAAAGCAGGGGACCUUCGGGCCUUGUGCUGAUGGAGCGGCCGAUAUCAGAUUAGCUAGUUGGUGAGGUAAAGGCUCACCAAGGCGACGAUCUGUAGCGGGUCUGAGAGGAUGAUCCGCCACACUGGGACUGGGACACGGCCCAGACUCCUACGGGAGGCAGCAGUGGGGAAUUUUGGACAAUGGGCGCAAGCCUGAUCCAGCCAUGCCGCGUGAGUGAAGAAGGCCUUCGGGUUGUAAAGCUCUUUCGGACGGGAAGAAAUUGGUGGGGCUAAUAUCCCCAUCGGAUGACGGUACCGUAAUAAGAAGCACCGGCUAACUACGUGCCAGCCGCCGCCGUAAGAC
rnacentral:rRNA from 1 species